UAAACUACGAUUAGAUACCCUAUUAUUUUAAAUGUAAAAUGUCUAUACUUGAGUAGUAAAAGUUAUGGUCUUGAAACUCAAAGAAUUUGGCGGUGUUUUAGUCCUUUCAGAGGAACCUGUCCCAUAAUCGAUAUUCCACGAUAGACCUUACUUAAUCUUGAAGUAUAUAUACCGCCGUCGUCAGAGUGUUCUAUAAGGAGUUAAACAUUCUUUAAUUUAAAUUAUUUAUAAAAGGAUGUCAGGUCAAGGUGUAGCUUAUGGUUAAGUGGAGAUGGGUUACAAUAAAUUUAUUUAUUACGAAUGAUUUAUUGAAAUUAUAAAUUUGAAGGUGGAUUUGAAAGUAAUUUUAUAUAGUAUAAUAUAUUGAUUUAGGCUCUAAAACAUGCACACAUCGCCCGUCGCUCUUA
rnacentral:rRNA from 1 species